rnacentral:rRNA from 1 species
UGCCAGCCGCCGCGGUAACACGGGGGGCGCAAGCGUUAUUCGGAAUUAUUGGGCGUAAAGGGCGCGCAGGCGGUCUUGUCCGUCAGGUGUGAAAGCCCGAGGCUCAACCUCGGAAUAGCGCUUGAUACUGAACUGCUUGAGACCGGAAGAGGGUAGUGGAAUUCCCAGUGUAGAGGUGAAAUUCGUAGAUAUUGGGAAGAACACCAGUGGCGAAGGCGGCUACCUGGCCAGAUACUGACGCUGAGAUGCGAAAGCGUGGGGAGCGAACAGGAUUAGAUA